rnacentral:rRNA from 1 species
GGUGAUGAUAGCAAGAGGGAUCCACCUGUUCCCAUUCCGAACACAGCAGUUAAGCCUCUUCACGCCGAUGGUACUUGGUUGGAGACGACCUGGGAGAGUAGGAAAUCGCC